rnacentral:rRNA from 1 species
AUUGAACGCUGGCGGCAUGCCUUACACAUGCAAGUCGAACGGUAACAGGUCUUCGGAUGCUGACGAGUGGCGAACGGGUGAGUAAUACAUCGGAACGUGCCUAGUAGUGGGGAUAACUACUCGAAAGAGUGGCUAAUACCGCAUGAGAUCUACGGAUGAAAGCAGGGGAUCGCCAGACCUUGUGCUACUAGAGCGGCCGAUGGCAGAUUAGGGAGUUGGUGGGAUAAAAGCUUACCAAGCCGACGAUCUGUAGCGGGUCUGAGAGGACGAUCAGCCACACUGGGACUGAGACACGGCCCAGACUCCUACGGGAGGCAGCAGUGGGGAAUUUUGGACAAUGGGCGAAAGCCUGAUCCAGCAAUGCCGCGUGCAGGAUGAAGGCCUUCGGGUUGUAAACUGCUUUUGUACGGAACGAAAAGCCCCGGGUUAAUACCCUGGGGUCAUGACGGUACCGUAAGAAUGAGCACCGGCUAACUACGUGCCAGCCGCCGCAGUAA